rnacentral:rRNA from 1 species
UACGAAGGGUGCAAGCGUUAAUCGGAAUUACUGGGCGUAAAGGGUGCGUAGGCGGUUCGUUAAGUCUGUCGUGAAAUCCCCGGGCUCAACCUGGGAAUGGCGAUGGAUACUGGCGAGCUAGAGUGUGUCAGAGGAUGGUGGAAUUCCCGGUGUAGCGGUGAAAUGCGUAGAGAUCGGGAGGAACAUCAGUGGCGAAGGCGGCCGUCUGGGACAACACUGACGCUGAAGCACGAAAGCGUGGGGAGCAAACAGG